GAUGAACGCUAGCGGCAGGCUUAACACAUGCAAGUCGAGGGGUAUAGUUCUUCGGAGCUAGAGACCGGCGCACGGGUGCGUAACGCGUAUGCAAUCUACCUUUUACAGAGGGAUAGCCCAGAGAAAUUUGGAUUAAUGCCCCAUAGUGUUAUCGAAUCGCAUGGUUUGAUAACUAAAGUUCCAACGGUAUAAGAUGAGCAUGCGUCCCAUUAGUUAGUUGGCAAGGUAACGGCUUACCAAGACAAUGAUGGGUAGGGGUCCUGAGAGGGAGAUCCCCCACACUGGUACUGAGACACGGACCAGACUCCUACGGGAGGCAGCAGUGAGGAAUAUUGGUCAAUGGGCGCAAGCCUGAACCAGCCAUGCCGCGUGCAGGAAGAAGCAUCUAUGGUGUGUAAACUGCUUUUAUACAGGAAGAAACAACUCUACGUGUAGAGUCUUGACGGUACUGUAGGAAUAAGGAUCGGCUAACUCCGUGCCAGCAG
rnacentral:rRNA from 1 species